rnacentral:misc_RNA from 1 species
AAGUCGUAACAAGGUUUCCGUAGGUGAACCUGCGGAAGGAUCAUUAAUGGUUUAUUACCUCUUGUAUUGGGGGGUUGACCUUGUGGUAUGUUGCACGUUGUGUGUAUGUGUGUGCAGUGGCGAUGGUCAUUGCACACACACAUUCAUAUUUUUCUCACCCUUUUUCAUUCAUUCAUUUCUGAUUCCCAAAAGUGUACUCGCGUACACGCAAAAACAACCGAAAACUGCCAGCAACGGAUCACUCGGUUCUC